rnacentral:rRNA from 1 species
GACGAACGCUGGCGGCGUGCCUAAUACAUGCAAGUCGAGCGGACGAAUCGAAAGCUUGCUUUUGAUUCGUUAGCGGCGGACGGGUGAGUAACACGUGGGCAACCUGCCCUGUAGACGGGGAUAACACCGAGAAAUCGGUGCUAAUACCGGAUAACACGAAAUGUCGCAUGACGUUUCGUUGAAAGACGGCGCAAGCUGUCGCUACAGGAUGGGCCCGCGGCGCAUUAGCUAGUUGGUGAGGUAACGGCUCACCAAGGCGACGAUGCGUAGCCGACCUGAGAGGGUGAUCGGCCACACUGGGACUGAGACACGGCCCAGACUCCUACGGGAGGCAGCAGUAGGGAAUCUUCCGCAAUGGACGAAAGUCUGACGGAGCAACGCCGCGUGAGCGAAGAAGGCCUUCGGGUCGUAAAGCUCUGUUGUUAGGGAAGAACAAGUAACGCAGUAACUGGCGUUACCGUGACGGUACCUAACGAGAAAGCCACGGCUAACUACGU